ACGUAGGGUGCGAGCGUUAAUCGGAAUUACUGGGCGUAAAGCGUGCGCAGGCGGUGAUGUAAGACAGUUGUGAAAUCCCCGGGCUCAACCCCGGAACUGCAUCCGAUACUGCCUUGCUUGAGGGUUGGAGAGGUAGCUGGAAUUCUCGGUGUAGCAGUGAAAUGCGUGGAUAUCGAGAGGAACACUCGUGGCGAAGGCGAGCUACUGGACAACAUCUGACGCUGAGGCUCGAAGGCCAGGGGAGCAAAAGGGA
rnacentral:rRNA from 1 species